rnacentral:rRNA from 1 species
AUUGAACGCUGGCGGCAGGCUUAACACAUGCAAGUCGAGCGGGGUGAUGGUGCUUGCACUAUCACUUAGCGGCGGACGGGUGAGUAAUGCUUAGGAAUCUGCCUAUUAGUGGGGGACAACAUCUCGAAAGGGAUGCUAAUACCGCAUACGUCCUACGGGAGAAAGCAGGGCAUCACUUGUGACCUUGCGCUAAUAGAUGAGCCUAAGUCGGAUUAGCUAGUUGGUGGGGUAAAGGCCUACCAAGGCGACGAUCUGUAGCGGGUCUGAGAGGAUGCUCCGCCACACUGGGACUGAGACACGGCCCAGACUCCUACGGGAGGCAGCAGUGGGGAAUAUUGGACAAUGGGGGGAACCCUGAUCCAGCCAUGCCGCGUGUGUGAAGAAGGCCUUAUGGUUGUAAAGCACUUUAAGCGAGGAGGAGGCUCUUUUGGUUAAUACCCAAGAUGAGUGGACGUUACUCGCAGAAUAAGCACCGGCUAACUCUGUGCCAGCCGCCGCAGUAA